rnacentral:rRNA from 1 species
GUGCCAGCAGCCGCGGUAAUACGGAGGGUGCAAGCGUUAUCCGGAUUCACUGGGUUUAAAGGGUGCGUAGGAGGGUAGGUAAGUCAGUGGUGAAAUCUCCGGGCUCAACUCGGAAACUGCCUUUGAUACUAUCUGUCUUGAAUAUCGUGGAGGUGAGCGGAAUAUGUCAUGUAGCGGUGAAAUGCUUAGAUAUGACAUAGAACACCAAUUGCGAAGGCAGCUCACUACACGAGCAUUGACUCUGAGGCACGAAAGCGUGGGGAUCAAACAGGAUUAGAUACCCGCGUAGUCC